AAGGUGAUUGUCCAAAGUGGCCAAGGAUGGAGUUUGGAGACUUCCUUGAGAUGAUAAAAAAAGGAUGCUAAGAACAUACUCACCAGUGGUUCCAGGGAUCCUCGUUCCAGCCCAACAUACUGGAAAGAGAGCUGCUAUCUCCCGACAUCCAUGAUUGACUCUCCUGGGAUCUACCCUCUAACCCCAGUUGCAAUCUGACCAGCUUUAUUCAGGAGAAGCACUAAACCCUAAAGCAUACAGUUGGUCCUGUGUCAGAAGGCUGGGACUUACCCAUGAGAAAGCAUAAGCUCUCCCUGCAGUGGAGCUUGCUGGGAAUGCAAGGUGAUAGGGAGCCCACAGGACCUUGCCCUAGAGGGCCUUACAUCGAAUAAGCCUACAUUGUUGAAUCACAUGCACUGAAGACUACAGAAUAAAUCAUAGAAAAAGGAAUAAAAGUGAUGAUUGAAAAGAAAAGCCAGCAAUAUCCUCCUGCUUAGUUUCCCUUGAAAAGAAUGAGCAAAGUGAUCUGUGUAGCCUUGCAACCAGGGGACAGAUUUCCUGUGUAGGGCUCACAACUCUGGAAAGGAACUGGACAUACUGAGAAAGCACCCUAUAAGGAAAGGCACUUCUUUGCAAGCCAAGAUUAUAAGCCUACCUCUGAUGAUCAGCUCUUAAAAAUGAACACAAAACAGAAGACAGCUUUGAGAGGUGCUGUGGAAAG